CUUGUUUACGUGCUAGAGGUCAACCAGUCGGAUUUUUUUACUUAGCGACGGAAGAUUGCGAGAGAACUCAGACAAUUAAAGAAACUAGUAAAUGAAGUCAAGAAAAUUCAUAAAAAUCUUGGAUAAAUGAAUUGAUAAAUCUUGGAUAGUCAAAUAUAAGAAAAGAAUUAAAAUUCGAAAUAACUGGGAAAAAAAGAUGAUCGGCUGAGGGAAAUAGUGCCUAUGAAACUAUAAGUAUAAUUGUUCCUAUGAACAAACGAUAUAUGAAUUUCCAUUUGUCAGUCAUCUUGUUAUUCAAAAUGUGCAACCUUUCAGGAUAUCGCUGCAAAAUGAAACUUCUCAUGAACGUUAUGUUGAUAAUUGUAAUACUGACGGUCACUGUGAUUCUAUUUAAAACAUAUCAGGAAAGCACGAAUAAAUCGUCGACUUUUAUAAAAUUUUCUAAAAAUAUCCUGUCUUUCCCGGAAAAAAAUAUUCCUUGCCCGGAAGGCAAAAGAAAAAAUCGUGAUGGAAAAUGUCGCAUGCAAGAGUAAUGUUUUAAAAUUCCGAUGGAUAGUAUAAUCUACCUACAACAUUCACAUCCAAUAAUAAAUACGAUGUAAAAAAAGACGAGCUUAUUAUGUCUUUACUCACAUCAUUGCUCUAUUACUUAUAUUUGAGUGUAAUUAAGUGUAAUUUCAUAGAAGCGAAUAUCUAUAACAGAGACGUACAUUCUCGAAUCUUUAAUUAAAAAGUGGCCGUGAAACUUUUAAUUAAUUAAACCAGUUUUUACAUGGCAACACAGUUGACGCAAUCAGAAAGGUAUAAAUGACCGGGCCACGAUGAUGCAGAAUUCGUUUACGUGCUGAAGGCAAACGAACCAAAAUUGUGUGUCGUGACGAAAAAUUACAAAAAUUCAGAUAUUAAAGAAGCUAGACAGCGGUAAAUUCGAAAAAAAAAUGUUUAGACAAUAAAGUGGCUAAGUGUGAAGCAAAAUUAAGAAAAUCCGGGAAUAUUAGAAGAAGUGACAACUUGACAGAGAGAAACAAAUAAUAUUACAAUACAUUCGAGUUGUCAACCUUUUUAUUUAAAGAUUCUGUUUCGCGACAUCACUUCAAAAUGAAACUUCUUAUAAACAUUUUACUGAUAAUUAUAAUAGUGGCAGUCACUGCUAUUCCAUUCCAAGCGUGUCAAGAAAAAACAUCUGAACCAAUAAGUCCACCAAUAAAUGAACAGAUGAACUCGCCAAUGAAUGAACAAAUGAGUCCAAUAAUAAAUACAACAAUGGCACCGAUAAAUACAACAACGACAAAGAGAAUAAUUAUAGCUGUACAAAAUAGAAUCUCUCCUUGCCCGGAGGGACAGAGGAGAGAUAAUCGUGGAGUAUGUCGCGUGCAAGUGUAGUGGCAGAAACGUACAGCUUUUCAGGAAGAUCCUGUUCAAUGGCCCUCUCGUUCACCUAAUCUUACACCUUUGGCACUAUUUUUUAUGGGGGUAUAAGAGGAAGUCACAUCUCAACUACUUACGACGAAAGAAGACUUAAAACGAAGAAUACAUACUAAGCUUGCACUAAGAUGACUCCAGAAAUGUUGUUUAGAGUUAGGCAAAGUUUUGUAAAAAGAAUUAAUAAAUGUUUAAAUGUUAAUGGUCAA